AUUGACGCGUUUGAAUGUUACCUUUCAUUCAUUCCCUUGGCAGGAUUCCGACUACGAAGUGUGGCAGAAAGCCUUCCACGGCAUGUCUGGCACCAUCCCUAACUGCUGGUCGGCGCGGAAAGACCUCAUCAGGGGAAAGUUUGCUGCGGUGUGCUACGAAAUGACCAUGAUGAAGACUAUCUCGUGGGACUUCAGCACCUCAGGCCAGUGUCACCUGUACAUCGCCCACGAAAGGGUUUACUCCGUCAUGGUCGCUAUCGCCUUCAGGACUAACUCUCUCUUCCUCGAGGGCGCCAAUGAUAUCAUCUCCAGACUCAUCGAGGCAGGACUCCUCGACUACUGGCUCAUCUCGGAGAUAUCCAACACCACACAGUGCCUCAAGCCCCCCACGGCAGACCAAAGCCAGGGAGUGCAGCCCCUUUCACUCACUUCCCUGCUGG